UUUAUUACUAUGAUGAGAAGAGUAGCUAUAUGGAAGUAGUCUUAGCGAGUAAGGAAUGGUGUAAGCCUUAUACGAAGCCUUUAGUGAAGAACAUCUCUGAGUUUCUAACCGAACAAGUGAAAAUAAUCACCUUACUUAUUCAAGGUGUAAAUUAGACUAAUUAAAACUUUAGUCUCACUUAAGUAGACUUAGACGGAUUCAAACCGUUAUUAUUUGAAUGACAUUACUUGUGUCAGUAGAGUGGCUAUUUAUAUGAUAGCAAUCUGGGUGGUACCGCGAAAUUAUCCUUUCGUCCCUAUU
rnacentral:ncRNA from 1 species